rnacentral:rRNA from 1 species
CAGUCGCCGCGGUAAUACGUAGGUGGCAAGCGUUGUCCGGAAUUAUUGGGCGUAAAGGGCUCGCAGGCGGUUUCUUAAGUCUGAUGUGAAAGCCCCCGGCUCAACCGGGGAGGGUCAUUGGAAACUGGGAAACUUGAGUGCAGAAGAGGAGAGUGGAAUUCCACGUGUAGCGGUGAAAUGCGUAGAGAUGUGGAGGAACACCAGUGGCGAAGGCGACUCUCUGGUCUGUAACUGACGCUGAGGAGCGAAAGCGUGGGGAGCGAACAGGAUUAGAUACCCCCGUAGUCCCUGUCUCUUAUAA